AAAGCGCCUGCCGAAUCAACGUGAUAGGGGGAGAGGAAAGAAAACUAUGCGUUCAAGUUCCGAACCCAAAAUGG
rnacentral:tRNA from 1 species